CAGAAAACCCACUCGUUCUUCUUCUUUUCCCAAACCAAAAAUCUACUGAAUCCACGAACAAACUCUCUCAAUCCACGAACAAACCUUCUGAAUUCGAAGAAUCCUAAUUGAACCCACAGUUGCGAAUUUCAUUUUUCUUCUCUCACGAAAAUCCCUUCAGCAAAUUCGAAAAACCCUAAUUUAAGCCAAAUUUGCGAUUUUCUUCUUCUGUAAAACGAAAUCGCUUUCAUCUGGGUUUAUAUCAUUCUUCUUCGGCAUUAGAGGUUUAUAGCUUUCUCGGUGGCGAUGGUUGCUCGGAAUUGGAGGUGAAGCUGCCUGAAACAUGGAAAGACUUAAGAUUGAAGCUUGAAGUAAUUCCAACAGACGCUAGCUCGAUCGAAUACACAUUGGUUUGGACUGAAUAGGUGCUGAGUCAUAUAUCUAAGGCCAGUCUGCUUCGUUAUACAAGUUUUUCGAGCACAAAGAGGAAGUCAAGUACCAAAGAGUAAAGCCAACAACAUCACAUGGAUCCAAGUGGAGUACUUUGAUGACUUCAAGUGUGCUACUUACUCAAGAUCUAAGUUGGAUGAACUUAAGGAGGAAUGGUGUCAAUUCAUGAUUGAGUUGAAAGUUGUAUAGGAUAUUGAAGGGUAAAAAGGUUACAGUUGUUGGCAAGAAGAAAAAGUAGUUAUUUAGCAUCCUUUUGAUUUGUGUAAAAAAUAACAAUGUUUUGGAUGAUGCAAUUGUUUUCAUUGAAU